rnacentral:rRNA from 1 species
GACGAACGCUGGCGGCGUGCUUAACACAUGCAAGUCGAACGGAAAGGCCCUGCUUUUGUGGGGUGCUCGAGUGGCGAACGGGUGAGUAACACGUGAGUAACCUGCCCUUGACUUUGGGAUAACUUCAGGAAACUGGGGCUAAUACCGGAUAGGAGCUCCUGCUGCAUGGUGGGGGUUGGAAAGUUUCGGCGGUUGGGGAUGGACUCGCGGCUUAUCGGCUUGUUGGUGGGGUAGUGGCUUACCAAGGCUUUGAGGGGUAGCCGGCCUGAGAGGGUGACCGGCGACAUUGGGCCUGAGAUACGGCCCAGACUCCUACGGGAGGCAGCGGUGGGGAAUAUUGCACAGUGGGCGGAAGCCUGAUGCAGCAACGCCGCGUGCGGGAUGACGGCCUUCGGGUUGUAAACCGCUUUCGCCUGAGACGAAGCGUGAGUGACGGUAAUGGGUAAAGAAGCACCGGCUAACUACGUG